rnacentral:rRNA from 1 species
GACGAACGCUGGCGGCGUGCCUAAUACAUGCAAGUUGAGCGCUGAAGGUUGGUACUUGUACCAACUGGAUGAGCAGCGAACGGGUGAGUAACGCGUGGGGCAUCUGCCUUUGAGCGGGGGACAACAUUGGGAAACGAAUGCUAAUACCGCAUAAAAACUUUAAACACAAGUUUUAAGUUUGAAAGAUGCAAUUGCAUCACUCAAAGAUGAUCCCGCGUUGUAUUAGCUAGUUGGUGAGGUAAAGGCUCACCAAGGCGAUGAUACAUAGCCGACCUGAGAGGGUGGUCGGCCACAUUGGGACCGAGACACCGCCCAAACUCCCACGGGAGGCAGCAGUAGGGAAUCUUCGGCAAUGGGCGAAAGGCUGACCGAGCAACGCCGCGUGAGUGAAGAAGGUUUUCGGAUCGUAAAACUCUGUUGGUAGAGAAGAACGUUGGUGAGAGUGGAAAGCUCAUCAAGUGACGGUAACUACACAGAAAGCGACGGCUAACUACGUG